ACUCGAGUGGCGAACGGGUGAGUAACACGUGGGUGAUCUGCCCUGCACUUCGGGAUAAGCCUGGGAAACUGGGUCUAAUACCGGAUAGGACGAUGGUUUGGAUGCCAUCGUGGAAAGUUUUUCGGUGUGGGAUGAGCUCGCGGCCUAUCAGCUUGUUGGUGGGGUAAUGGCCUACCAAGGCGUCGACGGGUAGCCGGCCUGAGAGGGUGGACGGCCACAUUGGGACUGAGAUACGGCCCAG
rnacentral:rRNA from 1 species